rnacentral:rRNA from 1 species
GACGCUGGCGGUAGCCUUAUAAUGCAAGUCGAGCGAGAAAGUAUCUUCGGAUAUGAGUAGAGCGGCGGACGGGUGAGUAACGCGUAGGAAUCUACCUAGUAGAAGGGGAUAGCCCGGGGAAACUCGGAUUAAUACCGUAUACCUCCUUUGGGAGAAAGAGGGCCUCUCUUUGAUGCUCUCGCUACUAGAUGAGCCUGCGUAAGAUUAGCUAGUUGGUGAGGUAAUGGCUCACCAAGGCGACGAUCUUUAGCUGGUCUGAGAGGACGAUCAGCCACAUUGGGACUGAGACACGGCCCAGACUCCUACGGGAGGCAGCAGUAGGGAAUAUUGGACAAUGAGCGCAAGCUUGAUCCAGCCAUACCGCGUGUGUGAAGAAGGCUUUCGGGUUGUAAAGCACUUUAAGCAGGGAGAAAAAGUUAUAGGCUAAUACCCUAUGACCGUGAUGUUACCUGCAGAAUAAGCACCGGCUAAUUCCGUGCCAGCAGCCGCGGUAAUACGGAAGGUGCAAGCGUUAAUCGGAAUUACUGGGCGUAAAGCGCGCGUAGGUGGUUUGGUUAGUUGGAUGUGAAAGCCC